GUGCCUAAUACAUGCAAGUCGAACGAGAGCGACCGGUGCUUGCACUGGUCAAUCUAGUGGCGAACGGGUGAGUAACACGUGGGUAACCUGCCCAUCAGAGGGGGAUAACAUUCGGAAACGGAUGCUAAAACCGCAUAGGUCUUCGAACCGCAUGGUUUGAAGAGGAAAAGAGGCGCAAGCUUCUGCUGAUGGAUGGACCCGCGGUGCAUUAGCUAGUUGGUGAGGUAACGGCUCACCAAGGCCGUGAUGCAUAGCCGACCUGAGAGGGUGAUCGGCCACAUUGGGACUGAGACACGGCCCAAACUCCUACGGGAGGCAGCAGUAGGGAAUCUUCCGCAAUGGACGCAAGUCUGACGGAGCAACGCCGCGUGAGUGAAGAAGGUUUUCGGAUCGUAAAACUCUGUUGUUAGAGAAGAACAAGUGCUAGAGUAACUGUUAGCGCCUUGACGGUAUCUAACCAGAAAGCCACGGCUAACUACGUGCCAGCAGCCGCGGUAAUACGUAGGUGGCAAGCGUUGUCCGGAUUUAUUGGGCGUAAAGCGAGCGCAGGCGGUUCCUUAAGUCUGAUGUGAAAGCCCCCGGCUCAACCGGGGAGGGUCAUUGGAAACUGGGGAACUUGAGUGCAGAAGAGGAGAGUGGAAUUCCAUGUGUAGCGGUGAAAUGCGUAGAUAUAUGGAGGAACACCAGUGGCGAAGGCGACUCUCUGGUCUGUAACUGACGCUGAGGCUCGAAA
rnacentral:rRNA from 1 species